GCCACGUUGAAACACCUGUUCCCGUAAAAUCACCGAACUUCAGCAACAUCGAAUCUGGUCAGUACCUAGAUGGGUGACCGUUUGGGAAUAUCAGGCGCUGUAA